rnacentral:rRNA from 1 species
AGUGAACGUUGGCGGCGUGGAUUAGGCAUGCAAGUCGAGCGAGAACCGUAGAAAUACGGGGACAGCGGCGAACGGGACAGUAAUGUGUAGGUACCUACCCCUGGGUUCGGGAUAGCUGCGGGAAACUGCAGGUAAUACCGGAUAACGUCUGAGGACCAAAGGUGUGAUUCCACCUGGGGAGGGGCCUGCAUCCUGUUAGCUUGUUGGUGGGGUAACGGCUCACCAAGGCAACGAUGGGUAGCGGGUGUGAGAGCACGACCCGCGUCAUUGGGACUGGGAUACUGCCCAGACACCGACGGGUGGCUGCAGUCGAGGAUCUUCGGCAAUGGGCGCGAGCCUGACCGAGCGACGCCGCGUGCGGGAUGAAGGCCUUCGGGUUGUAAACCGCUGUCGUAGAGGAGGAAAUGCAGGGGGGUUCUCCCUUCUGUUUGACCUAUUCUAGGAGGAAGGACGGGCUAAGUUCGUGCCAGCCGCCGCUGUAA